CAGGGGAAGAAGGAGCUGAUAUCAGGCUCUUUUUGCCCAUAACAUCUAGCUCCGCCACACCCCCAAGGGUAUUCAGCAGUGACAAACAUUGAAAAUUAGCGCAAGCUAAAUUCAGUUAUAGCUAAAAAAACCGGUUAAUCUCGUGCCAGCUACCGCGGUUAUACGGGUAGGUUUAAACUGAUAAUAUCGGCACAAAGCGUGGUUAACAUUUUUCCCCAAUAAAGCAAAAAAAAAGCCUAGCUGUGAAAUGCUUCCGCUUUUACUAAUUCCAACCACGAAAGUAGCUUUAACCCCUUUUGAACCCACGAUCGCUAGAACCCAAACUGGGAUUAGAUACCCCACUAUGCCUAGCCGUAAACUUUGACAUUUCCGCCUGGGAACUACGAGCAUAAGCUUAAAACCCAAAAGACUUGGCGGUGCCCUAUACCUUCUAGAGGAGCCUGUUCUAUAAUCGAUAACCCCCGAUAAACCUCACCUCUUCUUGCCUAUACCGUCUGUAUACCUCCGUCGUCAACUGACCCCUCAAGAGCUGUCAGUCAAAUGGGCUUUUCCAAUAAGUCAGGUCAAGGUGCAGCGAAUGAAGAGGAAAGAAAUGGGCUACAUUUUCUACCUGUAGAUUAUACGGAAAAUCAAAAUGAAAUCUGAUCGGAAGGCGGAUUUAGCAGUAAAAAGAGAUCAGAAAGCUCUUUUUAAAUAGGCCCUAGGGCGCGUACACACCGCCCGUC
rnacentral:rRNA from 1 species